ensembl:lncRNA
CAAGAUCUUCAACCUACACACUGGUUCUACGUUGCUCAAAGUUCUCUUGAGCUGACAAUCUCGUGACUCCAGAGGCAGAUAAGAAAGAAGGUCGGAGUCCAAAGACCACUGAAUUUGGAAUCAGAAGCUCAGUUGGAAUCGCAGCUCCGCUCUGUGCUUUUGAUGGAAACCUGAGUGGAACUCACAGUGAAGAAAUUGCUCUCAUCCCUCGCAUAAGUCUUCAUCAAUAUGUAAUCCUAAAGAGUUGUCUGGUACAAUGAAAUAUUCAAUAUGAAGGGACCCAUAGCCCAGACAUGUCAGAUAUAAUUAUGAUGCAUAAGGAUUUCUGCUCCAGCCUUUUACUUUGAAUCUGUGUGUGUCACUCUUCCUCAAAUGUUUUUCUUGUAAACAACAUAUAGUAGGAUUCUGGAUUUUAAUCCACUCUGCCAGCCACUUCUGCUUUAUAGCACUAGAAGCUUGGUCUUAUUGUCGUUUCCACUUCACAGAAGUAGAAAAUGAGGCAAACAGAAGUGGAUCAUGGCCAGAUAUGAAGAGGAAAUGGAUCUCAUUCUUGGUGAGAAAACCUUGUAUUCCAUAUUUUCUUAGCUGACACAGAGUGUCAAUGAUUGUAAGCUACAUUUUUGAAUUUUUAAAACUCUUUUAUUAUGUUUUUCUUGCAUGUGCAAUUUAUUUUUUCUCUCCUUUUUAUAUUUGAAGCCCAUGUCACCAGUAUUAAGAUUUUCUUUAACUUUUUAAUUUUACAGUAAUAUAAGAUUAAAAUACAUUUGCUAUAAUGUCAAUGCAUGCCCCCAAAACUUGAGACUAUAAAAAUGAUGCUAUUAAUUGUUUAAAAAAUUUAUGCGACUUUACUUAAUGAUUCUGUCUGAUUCCAGGACAAGAUACACAAAAGAGACAUUGCAUAGGGUCAAAGAGAAACCAAUCCAGGAUGGAUUGAUGCACUUCUAAGCCAAUACAAAGAUCUUGAACCUAGUGAUAAGACUCAAGGUUGAGAUGCUUAACAUACAUUAAGACCUUUUGAACCUUAAAAAUUCUCAGACCCUACUUCAUAAGGUUUGGUUAAGACCAUUCACCACUUUAAACAAUGAAGGGACUUAGAUCAUGAAUGUGAGAUCUCUACUCCACCCCUACUUAAGCCUGCUUUAGAGAAGAAACUCUUUGCUGAACAAUGAAAAAUAAUUAAACCCAUACUUAUAGUAAGGCAAAAGUUCUUAAGCCAUGCCUAAUUUUAGAUCUAAUACAAAAGGGUGCUAAGUACCUAUGAAAGUCAGGCAACUUGUGAAUUUACAAGGAGCAAAGAGGUGAGACUUAGAGAUUUUUUCAGGUGUGAACUUAAUCAAAGGUUUAAAGUCUACUCAGGUGUGACUUAAGAAUGGUCUGUCCUUUGGAAAACAUCUACUAUGAUUGGUAGAUGUGAGAACUUAGGGGACGAGACAUAGGAGAAAAUGCCCUUUAAAUAGGAGCUCAAAUAGAGCUGGGGAUAAUUCAGCUGGGAAACAGCUGAAAGAUACACAUUCAGCUGGUGGAGUCAGCUGAGAUGGAGCUGGCCUGGUGUCUCUAUGAACACUAGAAUCUUGCUUGGGACAAAUCUU